rnacentral:rRNA from 1 species
CAGCAGCCACGGUAAUACGAAGGGGGCUAGCGUUGUUCGGAAUUACUGGGCGUAAAGCGCACGUAGGCGGAUCGAUCAGUCAGGGGUGAAAUCCCAGGGCUCAACCCUGGAACUGCCUUUGAUACUGUCGAUCUGGAGUAUGGAAGAGGUGAGUGGAAUUCCGAGUGUAGAGGUGAAAUUCGUAGAUAUUCGGAGGAACACCAGUGGCGAAGGCGGCUCACUGGUCCAUUACUGACGCUGAGGUGCGAAAGCGUGGGGAGCAAACAGGAUUAGAUACCCCAGUAGUCCCUGUCUCUUAUAC